rnacentral:rRNA from 1 species
AGAGUUUGAUUAUGGCUCAGGAUGAACGCUAGCGACAGCUUAACACAUGCAAGUCGAGGGCAGACAUAAAAGUAGCAAUACGUUGUGGCGACCGGCGCACGGGUGAGUAACGCGUAUGCAACCUACCUAUCAGACGGGGAAGUAACCCGGCGAAAGUCGGACUAAUACCGCAUAAAACAGGGGCACCGCAUGGUGAUAUUUGUUAAAGAGAUUCGCUGAUAGAUGGGCAUGCGUUCCAUUAGGUAGUUGGUGAGGUAACGGCUCACCAAGCCGACGAUGGAUAGGGGAACUGAGAGGUUGGUCCCCCACACUGGUACUGAGACACGGACCAGACUCCUACGGGAGGCAGCAGUGAGGAAUAUUGGUCAAUGGGCGGGAGCCUGAACCAGCCAAGUCCGCGUGAAGGAAGAAGGAUCUAUGGUUCGUAAACUUCUUUUGCAGGGGAAUAAAGUGCAGGACGUGUCCUGUUUUGUAUGUACCCUGAGAAUAAGGAUCGGCUAACUCCGUGCCAGCCGCCGC